ensembl:ncRNA T14G11.6 ncRNA
GCGGCUUGAUUUGAUUGUUGACGGGCUCUUUUCAACGUCUGGCUGACUGAUCGCUUCUGAAAUGAAAAAAUUAUACAUUUAAACUAAAAAUUGCAUUUUUUUAAUGAAAAAAAAACUCACCGAUGCAAUACG